rnacentral:rRNA from 1 species
GAUGAACGCUGGCGGCGUGCCUAAUACAUGCAAGUCGAGCGAACGGACGAGAAGCUUGCUUCUCUGAUGUUAGCGGCGGACGGGUGAGUAACACGUGGAUAACCUACCUAUAAGACUGGGAUAACUUCGGGAAACCGGAGCUAAUAUCGGAUAAUAUUAUGAACCGCAUGGUUCAAAAGUGAAAGACGGUCUUGCUGUCACUUAUAGAUGGAUCCGCGCUGCAUUAGCUAGUUGGUAAGGUAACGGCUUACCAAGGCAACGAUGCAUAGCCGACCUGAGAGGGUGAUCGGCCACACUGGAACUGAGACACGGUCCAGACUCCUACGGGAGGCAGCAGUAGGGAAUCUUCCGCAAUGGGCGAAAGCCUGACGGAGCAACGCCGCGUGAGUGAUGAAGGUCUUCGGAUCGUAAAACUCUGUUAUUAGGGAAGAACAUAUGUGUAAGUAACUGUGCACAUCUUGACGGUACCUAAUCAGAAAGCCACGGCUAACUACGUG